GUUGAACGCUGGCGGCAUGCCUUACACAUGCAAGUCGAACGGUAACAGGUCUUCGGAUGCUGACGAGUGGCGAACGGGUGAGUAAUACAUCGGAACGUGCCUAGUAGUGGGGGAUAACUACUCGAAAGAGUGGCUAAUACCGCAUGAGAUCUACGGAUGAAAGCAGGGGAUCGCAAGACCUUGUGCUACUAGAGCGGCCGAUGGCAGAUUAGGUAGUUGGUGGGAUAAUAGCUUACCAAGCCGACGAUCUGUAGCUGGUCUGAGAGGACGAUCAGCCACACUGGGACUGGGACACGGCCCAGACUCCUACGGGAGGCAGCAGUGGGGAAUUUUGGACAAUGGGCGAAAGCCUGAUCCAGCAACGCCGCGUGCAGGAUGAAGGCCUUCGGGUUGUAAACUGCUUUUGUACGGAACGAAAAGCCCCGGGUUAAUACCCUGGGGUCAUGACGGUACCGUAAGAAUAAGCACCGGCUAACUACGUGCCAGCCGCCGCCGUAA
rnacentral:rRNA from 1 species